GGAGGUGUCACACCCGGUUCCAUGCCGAACCCGGCAGUUAAGCCCUCCAGCGCCGAUGGUACUGCGGACGUAUCCGUGGGAGAGCAGGACGCCGCCGGAA
rnacentral:rRNA from 1 species